CUUUUAUGUUUUUAUUUUAAAAUUUAUAGCUAAGAUAAUCAUAGACGAACUGCAGCGCUGGUUUUGAGCGGUAGUUCUUAGCAGAAUAGGUGGAGGCAGAGAAGAGAAGGGUGUGUGUGGAGAAAGAAAAAGAAAAAGAAAGUGUGGUUUUGUCUUUUGGUUUUGCUUUUCUCCAAAUGGACAUUCUUCUUCACUUUUUUCUCUUUGCUCCAAUCCUUUUGUGCCUCACUUUUGUGUAUCUGCCUUUUCCACAACCAACUUAUUUUUGGGCUUGGAAGUCACUCUUGUCUCACCCGGUGGCUGAUUUGGUUUUGAGGAAUGGGAUGAUAUAUACCAGUGAUGACUCUCUCCCAUUUGCUGAUUCUAUGGCAGUGGCCAAUGGGAGGGUUCUUCGUGUUGGCAACAAUUCAUUUGUCAAGGAGUUGGAAGGUAUUGGAACUCAAGUUUUGGAUCUUGGUGGGAAGGUUGUGGUUCCUGGGUUCAUUGAUUCCCAUGUGCAUUUCAUUGAUGGUGGAUUGCAGAUGAUGCAGGUGAAGCUGAGAGGUGUGAAUAAAAAGGAUGAAUUUAUCAGAAGGAUUAAAGAUGCAGCACAAAGCACAAAGCAAGAUUCCUGGAUUUUGGGUGGUGGAUGGAACAAUGAUCUAUGGGGAGGAGAUCUGCCAGCUGCUUCUUGGAUCGAUGAUGUUACUCCUAAUAAUCCUGUAUGGCUGUCAAGAGUGGAUGGUCACAUGGGCUUGGCUAACUCAGUGGCACUAAUGUUGGCUGGGAUUACAAAUUUAACAGAUGAUCCACAAGGGGGAACUAUAAUGAGGACUGACCAAGGAGAACCUAGUGGAGUACUAAUUGAUUCUGCGAGGACACUGAUUACCUCCCAUAUCCCAGAGGAUUCAGUAGAUGAUAGGAGGGAAGCGUUGCUUAGAGCAAACAAUCUUGCCCUAACAAGGGGGGUGACAACAGUUGUUGAUAUGGGAAGAUAUUAUCCUGGGUUUUCAUCCGAAUAUUCCUGGGAUGAUUUUUCAGAUGUUUAUCAAUGGGCUAAUUCUAUGUCAAAAAUGAAAAUUAGAGUGUGUUUAUUUUUUCCAAUGGAGACAUGGGCACGUUUGGUGGAUGUGAUUAACAAAGUUGGCCAUGCCUUGAGUGAAAAGAUUUAUAUAGGUGGUGUCAAAGCUUUUGCUGACGGGUCUUUGGGUUCCAAUAGUGCAUUGCUUUAUGAGCCAUAUAUUGAUGAGUCUGGCAAUUAUGGUAUACAAGUGACUGAACUUGAAACUCUUCACAACAUGACCUUGGAUUCAGAUUUAAAUGGUCUACAGGUUGCUAUUCAUGCGAUAGGGGACAAAGCAAAUGACCUUAUCUUGGACAUGUAUGGUUCAGUAGCUUCUACAAAUGGAAUGAGAGAUCGAAGAUUCAGGAUUGAGCAUGCCCAGCAGUUGGCAGCUGGAACCUCCAGCCGGUUUGGCAAACAACGUGUUGUUGCUUCCAUGCAGCCAGAUCAAUUGUUGGAUGAUGCUGACUCUACCGGCAAAAAGCUUGGCGAGGAUAGGGCUGAAAAUGAAUCUUAUUUAUUUCGGACACUCUUAAAUAAUGAUGCAUUACUGGCAUUUGGUUCUGACUGGCCAGUAAGUGGUAGACAUCAAUCCCUUGAGUGGUAUUAAGACAGCAAUCACAAGGAGGCCUCCCACAUGGAAAAGUGCAUGGAUUCCAUCAGAAUGCAUUUCAUUAGAUGAUGCAAUAAAGGCUUACACCAUUUCUGCGGCUCGCGCAAGCUUUCUUGACAGAGAUCUGGGUUCCUUAUCUCCUGGGAAACUGGCAGAUUUUAUCAUAUUGUCCACUGAUUCAUGGAAAGACUUUGCUGAAGAAGCAUCUGCAUCUAUUGAGGAAACGUAUGUUUCUGGUGUGAGAGCAUAUCCUUGAAGCUUUUCCAUGCAGUUAGAUGAAAAUUUUUGGUUAAAUUAAAAUUAAAAAAAAAACUACAUUUGGUUGACAUACGAAAAAAAUGUUUACGAAUUGGUCUUUGCCAUUUGUCAACAUUACAGCUGUGUUAAAUUUGAUUCUUAUACUUGAUAACAUUUUAUUUAGUUUUUAUAUGAAAAAAAUUUAAACCAUGCCGAUGGUAUGGUGUAU